GACGAACGCUGGCGGCGGGCUUAACACAUGCAAGUCGAACGGAAAGGCCCUGAUUUUGUGGGGUGCUCGAGUGGCGAACGGGUGAGGAACACGUGAGUAACCGGCCCUUGACUUUGGGAUGACUUCAGGAAACUGGGGUUAAUACCGGAUAGGAGCCCCCGUUGCAUGGAGGGGGUUGGAAAGUUGCGGCGGUUGGGGAUGGAUGCGCGGCUGAUCAGUUUGUUGGUGGGGGAGUGGAUUACCAAGGCUGUGACGGGUAGCCGGCCUGAGAGGGUGACCGGCCACAUUGGGACUGAGAUACGGCGCAGACUGCUACGGGAGGCAGAAGUGGGGAAUAUUGCACAAUGGGCGGAAGCCUGAUGCAGCAACGCCGCGUGCGGGAUGACGGCCUUCGGGGUGUAAACCGCUUUCGCCUGUGACGAAGCGUGAGUGACGGUAAUGGGUAAAGAAGCACCGGCUAACUACGUG
rnacentral:rRNA from 1 species